rnacentral:rRNA from 1 species
CAACCCUUGUCAUUAAUUGCCAUCAUUCAGUUGGGCACUUUAACGAGACUGCCGGUGACAAACCGGAGGAAGGUGGGGAUGACGUCAAGUCCUCAUGGCCCUUAUGGGUAGGGCUUCACACGUAAUACAAUGGUCGGUACAGAGGGUUGCCAACCCGCGAGGGGGAGCCAAUCCCAGAAAACCGAUCGUAGUCCGGAUUGCAGUCUGCAACUCGACUGCAUGAAGUCGGAAUCGCUAGUAAUCGCGGAUCAGCAUGUCGCGGUGAAUACGUUCCCGGGCCUU